UGGCGCUCACUGCCUGUAACAGCAACUCCAUGUGGAAGCUCCUCCUUCCAGUGGAAGUGCUGCUACCUGCAGGGGGCGCC
rnacentral:pre_miRNA from 10 species